UGGUGAACCAGCGGAGGGAUCAUUACUGAGUUUACGCUCUAUAACCCUUUGUGAACAUACCUAUAACUGUUGCUUCGGCGGGUAGGGUCUCCGCGACCCUCCCGGCCUCCCGCCUCCGGGCGGGUCGGCGCCCGCCGGAGGAUAACCAAACUCUGAUUUAACGACGUUUCUUCUGAGUGGUACAAGCAAAUAAUCAAAACUUUUAACAACGGAUCUCUUGGUUCUGGCAUCGAUGAAGAACGCAGCGAAAUGCGAUAAGUAAUGUGAAUUGCAGAAUUCAGUGAAUCAUCGAAUCUUUGAACGCACAUUGCGCCCGCCAGCAUUCUGGCGGGCAUGCCUGUUCGAGCGUCAUUUCAACCCUCAAGCUCUGCUUGGUGUUGGGGCCCUACAGCUGAUGUAGGCCCUCAAAGGUAGUGGCGGACCCUCCCGGAGCCUCCUUUGCGUAGUAACUUUACGUCUCGCACUGGGAUCCGGAGGGACUCUUGCCGUAAAACCCCCCAAUUUUCCAAAGGUUGACCUCGGAUCAGGUAGGAAUACCCGCUGAACUUAAGCAUAUCAAUA
rnacentral:rRNA from 1 species